UGCAAGUCGAACGAGAAAGCUUCUUCGGAAGUGAUUAAAGUGGCGCACGGGUGAGUAACGCGUAGACAAUCUGCCCUUCAGUUCGGGACAACUUUCCGAAAGGGGAGCUAAUACCGGAUAACAAUAUUUAACAUAAGUUGAAUAUUUGAAAGCUCCGGCGCUGAUGGAUGAGUCUGCGUCCCAUUAGCUUGUUGGUGCGGUAGUGGCGCACCAAGGCUACGAUGGGUAGCGGGUUUGAGAGGACGAUCCGCCACACUGGAACUGAGACACGGUCCAGACUCCUACGGGAGGCAGCAGUGGGGAAUAUUGCACAAUGGAGGAAACUCUGAUGCAGCAAUGCCGCGUGAGUGAAGAAGGCCCUUGGGUCGUAAAGCUCUUUUAUGGGGGAAGAUGAUGACGGUACCCCAGGAAUAAGCACCGGCUAACUACGUGCCAGCAGCCGCGGUAAUACGUAGGGUGCGAGCGUUGUUCGGAAUUACUGGGCGUAAAGGGCGCGCAGGCGGAGGUGCAAGUCGGAGGUGAAAGCCCGGGGCUCAACCCCGGAGGGUCUUUCGAAACUGCAUCUCUAGAGAGGGUCAGGGGCCGGCAGAAUUCCUGGUGUAGAGGUGAAAUUCGUAGAUAUCAGGAGGAAUACCGGUGGCGAAAGCGGCCGGCUGGGGCCACUCUGACGCUGAGGCGCGAAAGCGUGGGGAGCAAACAGGAUUAGAUACCCUGGUAGUCCACGCCGUAAACGAUGAGCACUGGACGUUCGGGGGGUUCGACCCUUCUGGGUGUUUCAGCUAACGCAUUAAGUGUUCCGCCUGGGGAGUACGGUCGCAAGACUAAAACUCAAAGGAAUUGACGGGGGCCCGCACAAGCGGUGGAA
rnacentral:rRNA from 1 species